UCUUAUGGACGAGCAAAGAGAGUGGUUUCUUGAGAAGGAAUCUACUCCUAGUGGAGAUGUUGGGAA
rnacentral:pre_miRNA from 1 species